rnacentral:lncRNA from 1 species
UAGAGCCCAUCAUCAUCCUCAUCUGGUUGUAAGUAGGCAAUCUAGUAUAUUAUUCGUGGCACUAAUCUCUAAUUUACCUCACAUUAAAGGGACACUAUAGUCCCCAGAACCACUGCAGCUUAAUGUAGUGGUUCUGGUGUCUAGCCUGUCCCUGCAGGCCUUUUAAUGUAAACACGGCGGCACUGCAGCACUGGUGUUAGUUAACAUGGCAAAUCAUAUGGGUGGGGCAUUGUGAUG